rnacentral:lncRNA from 1 species
CACAUGUGAAUCGAACCAAGUGAUUGUCACCAUUGUUAUGAGAAUCGUUUGUGUAUAAUCUAUUUAUCAGGCUGUAAUUCUUAUCCGGUAAGAGUUUUCAGGUUGAUUUAUUUUGAAGUGUUGAGAUGUAUGUUAUGUUUGUUAGCCAUCAAUCAUGUUUUCGUUUGGGCUUGGUGUAGGGGCUGUUCUCUUUUUCCUCAUAUAUGUACAUAUUAUGAUGUAGUUCAUUCCUAUUAAUCAUCUUAGCAUAACCUGAUAUAAGUGAUGAUUCACAAUGUUAUAACCAUUUUCUCAAAUACAUGAUUAUUAAUAAAUCUGUUCUAAGCAUAUGGCAUUGUGUUAAUGUUCAGUUAAUAUGUUAUGUAUAACCUUGGGUGGUUUCUAAGUGAUGUCAAUUCCAUUAUGAUUUUUUCCGACUUGCAAGUACACGGGAUUUUUAAUAUUUUAAGCACAUGGUAUCUACUUGGUUUUAGUCACUCCUAAAUCAAACUUGUUUUAGUGAUUGACUAAUUCAGAUUUUGUUUAAAUCACUUGGUUGUGAUGAUCGAUUACCUUGGGAAUUUUAGUUAACAUAUGAUUUUGAUUUGGAAUUUUUUUUGGUCAAUUAGGUAGUUUGUUUCAAUUCCAAUCAAAUACUUCAUUAAUUAAAUAUUGACCGGAUUAUUUUAUCAUGAUGUCAACCUCUUCCAAACUCGAAUUCCUUUCAAUCUUAUCAAUUCAUAAUCACUUUCAAUUCAUUUCCAAACGAAGCUCAUUUGAUUCAAAACCACUUUCAAACCAAUUUCAAAAAUCACAAAUCAUAAUUCUCGAUUUAAUGUCGAGUUUAUUUUCAAACACCUUUGUAAGUCGAUCGCUUCUAGCAUCGCCAUCAACCUCACAUAGCUUACUCUUGGGCUUUCUUACAAUAAAACCUAUUCGGUUAUUGAUUAAUCGAGUUGAUGAAUAAUACACAAAAUAAAAUUCAUUUCAUUCAUAAACAUGAAUUUAAAUCAUUUUCCAAACCAUUCAACUUCAAAAGAAUUUUCUCUUAACAUAAAUUUUGGGAUGAAAAAGAUAUAGGAGGCGUUCGCCUCACUAUUUCUCAAUUACUCGAAUAAUUGGCGUAUGCCAUAUUGCGCGAGUUCUUGUCACCUGAUUAAAUCUUAAAUCACACAAUUUCAAAUCACUUUUCAAAAUUAAAUAUAAUUUCCAAAUUCAAAUUAUUCAAACCAUAACAUUUCAAAUCAUUUCUUUUAAAUCAACUACAAAUUCUACAACCAUUUAAUUCUAAAUUUCCGAUAAUAAAAGGAUAGGAGGCGUACGCCUCAUUAUCUUUCGAUUAUUCGAAUAAUUGGCGUAUGCCACAUUGCUCGAAUCUUCGUCAUCAAAUUAAAAACACAAUCGAAUAAAUUCAAAUCAACUCUUAGAUCAAAUCCAAUUUCACAAAAUAAACUCUAACUUAAACCUCAAUUAGAGAAUGGGAGGCGUUCGCCUCGCCAUUCCUUGAUUAUUUGAAUAAUUGGCGUACGCCACAUUGCUCAAAUCAUCGACUUUCCAAACAUACCAAAUCAAAAUCCAAAAUUCAAAUCAUUUUCGCAAAUCAACUACAAUAUCUAAAAACAUAUCUUUUACAAUUUAAACCUCGGAUGAUAAAAGAUGGGAGGCGUUCGCCUCGCCAUCUCUCGAUUAUUUGAAUAAUUGGCGUUCGCCAUAUUGCACAAGUUAUCGACUUCCGAUUAAUACAUUUUAACUAAACUUGGAUAAGGGAAUAGGUGGCGCUGGCCUCAUUAUUCUUUGAAUAAGCAAGUAGGAGGCGUACGCCUCACUACCGUGCAUAUUCAACAUCCAUAAACAAACUUUCUAAAUAAUCCGAAUGAAAAAGGAGUAGAAGGCGAACGCCUUAUUAUUCCUCGAAAGAAUUGGACGAUUGGUGUGCACCACAUUGCCCAAUCUUUCGUCGUUUUUCAAAAACAUCUCAAACAAAUCAAACCUAACUUCUCGCCCCCGAGCGAUCGAAACCAAACCAAAACACCCAAACACAUCAAUUCAACUUGUCACCCCCGCGUGACCAAAACUCUUUCAAAAAGAACACUGUCAAUCUUUUCUAAUGCGCACAACAUACCAGUGCUAGAGCCUCCACCGAGAGUAGACAAACCAGCGUUUAGCCGUUAGAACGCCGACCUACACAGUCCUUCAUCAAAACGAAACACACCAAAUAUUCGUAGUAGCCCGAACUACGAAUGCUCUGAUUUCCUUAUUGCACCAUAAGGAUACAUAGGCAGGAGAUUGAUGUAUCUUCGCGAGCACACUAAUAAAAAACCUCCCAUUUCCCCUCCUGAGGUCUUCAUCCAUAUAUAUCAUCAAUUCUAAUUAUUCGAAGCAAGCGAAUAAUAUUCAAUUAACAGUCAAAUAGAAAAUCAGACUAAAAGGUUCCCGUUGAGUACAACGGACGUAAGGGGUGCUAAUACCUUCCCCUUGCGUAAUCGACUCCCGAACCCAAAUAUGGUUGCGACGACCAUUAUUCUUUUUCUUAGAGGUUUUCUCGAUAUUUUCCUAUUCCUUCAUUGGAAUGAAUAAAGUUCGGUGGCGACUCUGUUUCGAACAACAUUUAUUCCGUGUUCCAUCGCGAGGGAUCGUAUUUUUUCGAGGUGCGACAAACUGGCGACUCUGCUGGGGACCCUGCUCCAAGCAAGAGAGAGUAUAGCCUAACUUAGUCUGAUUUUGCUCUGAUUGUUGGAAGAUGUUCUUAUCUUCCCUGCUUGUUUCUCUAUAUUUUAUUAUGUUGCUUGUAUGUAAUAUGUUUUGAUACUUUGAUAUGGGACUUGAUGUAUGCUGUGAGAUAAGCUUCACACCCGAGCUUCGAGAAGAACCUAGAACCUGGAGUUGUGUAGUAUUGAACCGAGGGGUGUACACCUCAUUGGGACAAUACGAAGACUCCACCUGGAGUAGAUCUAUUUGGAGUUUCCAUCAUAAUGUGGCUAGCCCAUUAUUGUAGGAAGGUUUUAAAUACGAUCCGUGACUCUAUGGACCUCACCUUAAACCCAAGUUUUGUUUUCAUGAUUGGCGAUUAUGUAGUAUUGAACCGAAGGGUCUACACCCUGUUCGAAGAAUACGAGAAUCCCACUUAGAUUAGAUCAGUUCAGAACUCCCAUCAUGAUAUGGCUAGCCCACCAUUGCGAGGAAGUUUUAAACUUGAUCCGUGAGUCUAAGUUCCUUCCUCGAAAACAUAACUUUAGAACCUACCUUUGGGGAAUUUCUAGUAAUCAUAGAAACCCGUGUUUCUUCCUGUUAUACUGACGUACUCGACGUAUGAACGACUUUUAGUACCUGUAUUCCUUUGCAAAAAAUCAUGGCAAAACUUCAUGCAUUUGCAUAUCAUAAACAUGCAUUGCAUAUCAUCUUAUAGAAACAAAAACUUACACCAUAUUCUACCCUUUGUCCAGUAACGCUGACUACUCAACACCAGUACGAGACACGCCGCAACUACAAGAUGACACUUGAACAGCUUGAAGCAAACCAGGUUUCGAUGAGGACCGACAUUGACUCCAUGCAAGCAAAGAUGGAUCGUUUGCUCGAGACUAUGUUACUCUUGGCCCAGAAGGAGAAAGACGCUGAAACUAACGCCGAAGCCAGAAGAGUUGAUGCUCAGUUUGGAUCACCAUCGCUUAGCAUCCCAGGAGUGAUUGACCUUGAUGGUAAUCCUGUCCAUCCUAAAGAAGGACCCAUUCCUUUUCCUGUUCCUAUGGUUAACAUGAACCCCCAUGAGCACUCUGCUACAUCUGCUCGACAUGGAUCCAUGAUGGGUGAUGAGUUUCCAUAUGACGCUUUCUUCAUGCCACAAUCCACUAAACCUGUUGUUGGAAGUCUCCUAGACCCAGCUGUUGAGAGACUCCAUGCUCUGGAAGAGAAAUUCAACUCCUUGGAGGUUCAUACUACUCCCGGCUUGGACGCCGUUGAUAUGUGCUUGGUACCAGGCCUCGUGAUUCCACAAAAAUUCAAAGUCCCAGACUUUGACAAAUACAAAGGGAUCAGCUGCCCGAGAACUCACCUUAGAGAUUACUGUCGUAAGAUGGCCACCCACAUUAGUAAUGAUCAACUCCUGAUUCAUUACUUCCAAGAUAGCCUCAGUGGGGCAUCCCUGGAGUGGUACAUGCAAUUAGAGAGAGGUCAGGUCCAAUCUUGGAGAGACCUUGCUGAAGCCUUCCUUAGGCAUUAUUAGUACAAUACUGAUCUAGCACCUAAUCGCACCCAGCUGCAAGACAUGACUCAACGCAACAAUGAGUCAUUCAAGGAAUACGCACAACGUUGGAGAGAGCUCGCAGCUCGUGUCCAACCUUCUCUUCUUGAUAAGGAAUUAAUUGACAUGUUUAUGGGAACUCUACAUACCUAAUACAUGGAAAAGAUGGUAGGAUCCAACUUCCCAACUUUUGCCGAGGUUGUCUCCGUGGGAGAACGAAUUGAAAGCCAGAUCAAGAAGGGAAAGUUACCUUGUGCUGCCAAUGCUUCAAGUGGGAUGAAGAAACCUUAUCCCAAUCCCCCAAAGAAGCCAGAGGGUCAGACCAACGCCAUAAUGAGAGGAGGAGGAUAUAGGGCACUUUCAUAUGCUCCUACGCCUUAUCAUCAGGUUGACGCGGUCAUCCCGACACCAUAUCAGCAACCCUAUCAGCAACCGUAUCCACAACCUUAUCAACAGCCGACUUACCAUCAGCCACAUCAAAAUCAACAGCAACGUGCUCCACAACAACGUCAACCUAAUCAGCAGAGGGCAAGAAGGCCAGAAAGACAUUUUGAUCCUCUGCCAGUGUCAUACAGCAAGAUCCUUCCCUACCUGCUAAAGGAUGGAUCAAUUGUUUUGAAGGAGCUGACACCUGUAACUCCACCUUACCCACCAGGCUACAACGCCAAUGCUCACUACGAGUAUCAUAUGGGUGCACCAGGGCACACAAUAGAGAACUGUAAGGCUUUCAAGCACAAGGUCUAGGACCUGAUUGAUAGUAAGGCAAUUACGUUCACGCCAGUGAGGCCAAACGUUGCAACAAAUCCCAUGCCACCGCAUGUAGAGUCGAGUGAAGCUCGAAGAUAAAGCAUCACACCGGCCUGAACAAGCAGAGUAAUUCCGCCAGUGGAUCAAGAGAUGAAGGCCCGUUUCUUCGAAUGAAGGCGAUCAUUAUGCCAUUUUUACCAUUUUGCAUUCUUGUAAUUUGAUCUUGUUUGUCUAAGUACUGUAUGCUUUAAACAUUGUUAUUUGUAUUUGGUCUUAUUAAUGGGAUGAUUAUGCAUGCUUUGAAUCAUUACCAUUUUGCAUUCUUGUAAUUUGAUCUUGUUUGUCUAAGUACUGUAUGCUUUAAACAUUGUUAUUUGUAUUUGGUCUUAUUAAUGGGAUGAUUAUGCAUGCUUUGAAUCAAUCUUUCAUAUUCACCCAUCUAUCACAUUUACAAAUCACAAACACAUACUUUUCCACUUCACCUCCUUUAUCACACUAUUGUUAGCAAAUGUUGGAAGGAGGAUGACGAAAACAAAAUACUCAUAAUUGCUGAUUGUACGCUUUCGGAUAAAAUUCUGCUAAUGAUGUACAGGCAUUGUUUCAAAUCCCCAAACACUGGAGAGAUAACGAGUUAAUCCCUAGUCAACCACUUCGAGCCUAGAAGUAGGAGUUUCUUUCGGAUCUAUAAACCCUUAAGCUUAACCUGGGGCAGGGUAGUGUUCAGUUAGUCUUACUACACAUUCAAAUUACAAGAUAAAAUAUCCCAUAUGAGGAUCAAUCACAUGAUAUUCUUCGCACACAUCUUGAAGUGUCGAAGAAACCAUACAAAUCCAAAUUUUAGGUUUGUUGCUCUUCAAUGACCAUUGACUUGGCAGUCACAAUCUUCAAAAAAAAAAAUCAAAGAAAGAGCCCGCUAAGUCCAACACCCUAAAAGGAGACUUAGGCAAAAACUGGGGCAAUCCCGAUGGAUUAAAGCUUCAAACAAGCGGUCCAUGCAAAAGUUAGGGAUCAAAACAAAAAUCGAAAGAGACAAUGAAAGUUUCCAACAAAACAAAACAAGAUUCAGUGACCACCAUACCAAAAUCAAAGGGUCACCGACAUAAAAAAACGAAAUAAGGUGGUUGCCAUUCCAAGAGACCUUGAAUCACCAUCUUUAUCCUUACACCUGCAAAAGACGAAUAUGUGUAAAUUAAUUGAACAUAGGAUUGGAGAUCAUCAUGAAGAAGGGGUGGGUUAAAAUAAACUUUGAGCCUUAUAUCCUUUUGUUUCAAUAACAGUGAACCAAGCCACGUUACAACCCUCAAAAGACCUAAUUGAAGUGAGGUUUAUUCCAGAAGCAUACUACAGCAAGGUUGAGUAAACUGACUCCUAGGUAUUUACUAAUAUUCUAUUCUGGCUUCAUCAUUCACACACUAGCUGAAUCAGCAUCGCGUUUAGACUCAUGAUCCAUUCGCCACACACUACCACGACACCCCAAAUGAAUGAUUGUUUUUCAAAACAUGCAUAACUGUUGCAUUAACAUCACCAUUUCUUGGAUAACAAUUCUUAAUUGUCAAUCAGUACUUGACAUCGAGAAAAUUCCAACAAGGGGCAAUUCGAGUGGUACUUGAUCGUCGGCGUUGACACGAAGCAAAACCAUUUCAUAAUCCUAUGGAUCAGGGGCAUGGCAUCUUCUGAUCAUUUUGAUUGAAGAAGUAGUCAGUAUAAGACAAAUCUUCAAGCAUCGGUUGAUCAAGGAGGAAAAACACUUCAAUACCCAGUACGUUUGGGGCAAGUCCCCCAAAGGCUAAUCAGGGGCAGAGCAUUGUAAGAUUCAGGAGUUGAGAAAAACAGACUCAGACCACGUCAUCGAAUAAACACUCCCAAGGUUUCCUUUCAGGGAGAAUGCCAUUUGACACCCUACAGUCUGGGGCAAGACAAGUUGCAAGGGGAAAAAUUCCCUUCAUAUCUUCAAGCCAGUCAAGCAGAUUGCAUCAGACACUAGUGACUGCUUGGAUUCACAACAAAAACGUCGAAAGUUCAUACCAGUACAACAUCAUACCUUGACAAGAAUCCUUAGGGCACGUCAAAGGCAUACCCAUCAUGCGCUGAUCACGUCGCUAUGCUCAAUUACAGGCUGGCCAGACAUCUCAGAAGAAGAAUCGAGAUCUUCUCAAAGACAAAUACACAACGUAUCAGCAAGAGAUCAAACUUGGGGCACCAAGAGUACUCGCAUCCGUUGUUUGUUCAUCACAUCAUCAACUACCGAGUGUCGGGAAGUCAGAUCCUUUCCACCAACCGAUGGUCCAACCCACAUCGACUACCACAAAAGACCAAAGCCCACCUUACUGGCAUCCACACAAAAACUAAUACAACCAACACUGGUUUCCACAAAAUACAUCACCUUUGAAAGGGGGCCAAUCCCAAACAAGCCAAUCAGUCUUUGCAUUCAAACAUGCAUCACAUGCAUCACCUCAUACAUAACGCAUACAUGACAUUUAUGCAUAUAACACGAAUCAAAACCCAAGGUUUAGUCGUAGGCAUCCAGGCCAACCCUCAGUUGAGUUAUUGUUUUUCUCUGAGUAAGUUUCUACCCCACUAUUGGGCAUUCCCCAUUGGAGUUACAUCUCUCAACCUUUUGUUGAUAAGAUGUUAUCCUCAGCAAAGUCAAACAUCAUUUCUUUAAAACACUUACCUUGUUUCGCGUUGAGCGUCCCUCAACAAGUUGUUUCCUGUAACCUUUUGUUGACAGAAACUACACCUCCCCAGAGAAUAUUUGUUCUGCAACCUUUUGUUGAUGGAUACCCCUGGCAAGUCUUACCCAGUAAUGUUCCAAUACUUCCUAACAAAUCAGGUUUACUCAACAUUGACAGUAGCCUUAUUUUUCCAAUGUUUUUCUCACUAUCAUCCUUUUGGUGAAAGUCCAUUGAGGAAUAAUAUUGAUCAUCACCAUGUUUACGAUAAUCGUUAUCCUUUUGAUAAUGGUAAAAAUCUUGGACAUUUGUGAUCUUACCGUCAUCCUUUUGGUGUCGAAGAUCCUUGAAGUUUUGGUUCAACCUUCAUCCUUUUGGUGAAUGGCGACCUCUCAUUAUUAAAGCUUAUUGUCAUCCUUUUGGUGGUAACAAGUUUUGUCGUUUGAUCUUACUGUCAUCCUUUUGGUGUCGAAGAUCCUUAAAGUUUUGGUUCAACCUUCAUCCUUUUGGUGAAUGGCAAUCGCUGCACUAAUUACAGCCUACCGUCAUCCUUUUGGUGUCGGCGAUCCUUGUGGAGAUAAGGAUCCUUGUCAUUUUGGUUCAAUCAUCAUCCUUUUGGUGAUGACGUCCAGUUCAAUCUAAAUAUCAUCCUUUUGGUGAUGGAUAUUAUAAAGUUUGGUUUAAGCUAUCAUCCUUUUGAUGAUGGUGACAUUUGGAAAAGUCCAAUCCCACUAUCAUCCUUUUGGUGUCAGUAAUAUUUGAAGUUAUUAUAACUUAUUAUCAUCCUUUUGGUGGUGACAAGUUUCGAAGUUAUGAUCUCACCUUCAUCCUUUUGGUGAUGGUGGUUGUUAAUUCAUUAUCAUCCUUUUGGUGAUAACGAGUCCUGUUGUUUGUAGUACCUUCAUCCUUUUGGUGACGGUGAUCAGUAAAAGUUAUCAACUUAUUAUCAUCCUUUUGGUGAUAACAAGUUUUGUUAUUGGCCUUACCUUCAUCCUUUUGGUGACGGUGGCCAUUUGAGUUAUGGGCUCAUUAUCAUCCUUUUGGUGAUAACGGGUUUUUGUUUUGAUCUUGCCCUCAUCCUUUUGGUGAUAACGAUCAUUGAGUUUGUUUCAGCUUAUUAUCAUCCUUUUGGCGAUAACAAGUUUUCAAGCUUUGUCCUUAUUAUCAUCCUUUUGGUGAUAACAAGUUCUGUUUGUUUGAUCUUACUGUCAUUCUUUUGGUGUCAGUGAUAUUUAAGGUUAUUGACUUAUUAUCAUCCUUUUGGUGGUAACAAGUUCUGUUUUUGAUAAUACCUUCAUCCUUUUGGUGAUGGUGAUUGUCGACUUAUUAUCAUCCUUUUGGUGGUAACGAGUUUUGUUGUUUAAUCCUACCUUCAUCCUUUUGGUGACGGUGACCAUUUGAGUUAUAGACUCAUUAUCAUCCUUGUGAUGAUAAUGAGUUUUUGUUUUGAUCUUACCCUCAUCCUUUUGGUGAUGGUGAUCAUUGAGUUUGUUUCGACUUAUUAUCAUCCUUUUGGUGGUAACAAGUUUUGUCGUUUGACCUUACCUUCAUCCUUUUGGUGAUGGUGAUUGUUUUGACUUAUUAUCAUCCUUUUGGUGGUAACAAGUUCUGUUGUUGAUCUUACCUUCAUCCUUUUGGUGAUGGUGAUCGUUUGAGUCUAUUUUGACUUAUUAUCGUCCUUUUGGCGAUAACAAGUUUUCUCUUUUAACUAUACCUUCAUCCUUUUGGUGAUGGUGAUCAUUGAAGUUAUUUGACUUACUAUCAUCCUUGUGGUGAUAUCAAGUCUUGUUGUUGGAUCUUACCUUCAUCCUUUUGGUGACGGUGAUCUUUGAAGUUGAUGAGUCAACUAUCAUCCUUUUGGUGGUAGCCUUGAUAUUAUACUUUCAGUAAUGGAAAACAUUACCAGAAUGACUAUCAUCCGUUUGGUAAUGGACAUCAUUCUUUUGGUGAUGGAAAUCUUUGGAUUAUGUCUAACUUUCAUCCUUUUGGUGAUAUCGAGAUUUGUUGUUGAUCUUACCAUCAUCCUUUUGGUGAUGGUGAUCUUUGUUGUAGCCACUAUAACCAUCAUCCUUUUGGUGAUGACUACCUUUGAAGCUCAGCUUAUCCAUCAUCCUUUUGGUGAUGACGAUCCUGGAGAUCAUGGUGAACUAUUAUCAUCCUUUUGAUGGUAGCAAUUAAUUUCACUGUCAUCCUUUUGAUGCCAAAAAAUCGUUUCAGUUUUUAGUCCCACAUUUGUCUUUACAUCAAUAUGACCUGUGCAAUAUUCGAGUGUCGACUCGAGGGUUGGCAGUGAUUUGGUAUUCUACCCCUAUCACCUUGGUGCUGUUAGAAUCCAUUGCAUUUUCUUUCUGCAUAUCCCCUUUGCAUUUCAAAGGACAAAAUUUGGGUAUUUUCGUAUUUAAUUACCUUCCACCAUGAAUGUAUGAAGACCAUCGUCAUUCUUACUUUCUAGUUCAAGAUAAUUAAAUAGGGGCAGCUGUCAUACCCCAAUUUUGUCCGGGCAUAUUUAAAUUUUCAUAGAAUUGAUUCCAUUUUUAUUUUUGCAUCAUAUGCAUAGCAUGACAUACAUUCCAUCAUGAAUAAUACCUAAAAUGUCAGUCAGAAUGAAUUUAUUUGCAUCAUAUGCAUAGCAUGACAUACAUUCCAUCAUGAAUAAUACCUAAAAUGUCAGUCAGAAUGAAUUUAUUGAAAAUACAGACAAUUCCAUUAAUAAAUGUGUUCUAAGCAUAUGGAAUUGUGUUAAUGUUCAGUUAAUAUGUUAUGUAUAACCUUGGGUGGUUUCUAAGUGAUGUCAAUUCCAUUAUGAUUUUUUUCGACUUUCAAGUACACA